UCCUAAAACAACAACCAAACAUAGACAAAAGCAAGAGAAAAAAAACCCAGCCACAACCUUUGAGCUUCCCCCAUCCAAAAGCAAAACGACAGUCUAUACAAAAUAGAAAGCUUCUAAGAAAAACUAACGAUCUCUCAGAGGCAAAGGUAUAGGAGAGACCCACUGUUCCGGUAAUCCUAGCCUAUCGUUGAUGUUGUGUGUCAUCGACCAAAUGGACACCCACCAGUGCAUCAUGGGAGCUGACCUGAAGAAGGCAAUCAACGAACACCCAACAGAUCUGACCAUUCGCUCACGAGCCCUAUCCUUCCCACUGUCCAUCACGUCUGUCGAUCGCGUCGAAGCACCUGCAUCGAAGUUAGAGGCAAGAAGCGGCUGGAGCAACAAGCACCUGUUCCUCAACCACAACCUCCCAGAUGGUUAUAGGACCGUCCUCCACCCACCAAGAUGCACAUUGCUGACGCCAACCUUAUUUUACCAUCAGGUGAGCAACUUUGUUUAAUGCCCCAGAUAUGCAUGCUAAUUGUCAAUCGAUCUAUACUUGUAGAUUGAAACUUUGAAAUAGCCACCAAAAAAUCUCUUUCCAUUUCCACUGACCGAAAGUCCAAAUCCAAAGCAAAACAAAGGGCUUGCAAGGCUGCCCAAGCCUUAGCAAUAAGUGGACUUUGGGUAAACUCGUUCCAAAAACAAGCAACCCCUAUGAGUAGGUCGUAGCUAUUCCGGAUAACAACCCUCGCAUAGGUAGCCCCUAAAUCCUUGUAGUAUAGAGCAUCAAAAUUGACCCGAACAAAAGGUUCUACAUGUGGCUAUCACAGCACUAGAUCAAAUGGAACCAAGCACUGUUGGGAUCCAUACAACUAAUCAAAUUGUCGAACAUAACCCAGAAUAAAUGUAACAAGUUCUGAAUUAGACUGUCGUUUCCUGUCAUGAAGUAAGAUAUUUCUCGAGUAUCAUACUGCCCAAAUUGUGAUUAUUACCGUCAGACAUUGCAAAGGAGUGCUACUGAAAAGUAGGUGUUGCACCCAUCCUUCAAAAGUGUCACUCGUAAAGUCUAUUUGCUAAUGGAAACCAAGAUCUUUCCAGAUAAUCAACACCAAAAGACAAUCACAACACGCAUAAAAAGCGGUUUCAGCACCCAUGCCACAUCAACGACACACUGCAUCCCUCCGAAGGCGUCACACAUAUAGAUUAGAGUUAGUAGGUACAUAAUUGUUAAGGAAUCUCCAAAUUGUAAUCUUAAUUUUUUUCGGGCCCUGUAAUUGCCACAAAUGUCUAUACAUACACCUAGUAGCAAGGUCCACAUCAAUGUACGUAUCCUCCACGGAUCCAGAGAAGCCCUGAAGAAGAAAUCGAUACCCAUUGCGCACAAUAUAUUCCCCACAACUCUCGAGACACCACCGCAACCGGUCCAUGGCUCAUUCCUGCAGCAGUGCUUACUAGGAUGAUCACUCGACAACCAUGGCAUAUCCCAGAUGGAAAUUAAAUUCCCAUUGCCCACUAGCCAGCUGCAACCUUUGGGAAAAAAGUCCUUUGGCAACCCAGAUGCUCCUCCAAAGAACAGAUGGUCAGUUCCCUAACUAAGACGUCAUAAAAUCAUAAUGCGAAAAAUAUUUAGCCUUAAGGACCCGUGCCACCAACGAUGAUGGGUCAUAUGCAAUGUUGAAUUUAGCAAGGUCACGGAACCCCAUCUCUCUAAUUUCUUUCAAAUCGCAAAACACCUCCCACAAACACCAAAGAAUACCACGCUUAGAAAGAGAUUUCUACCACCAAUAUCGACUAAGAACCCCUUCUAAUUCCCGACAAAAAGAUCCUGGUAAAAGAAAACAUGACAUAACAUAUGUAGGAAUCGCUUAUAGAAUUGAUUAGAUAAACACCUCAUUCCUUCAUUGGGACAAACAACGAAUACAAUCUUGCAUUGGA